rnacentral:misc_RNA from 1 species
UGAAUUCCCAAAGGGGAGUAGCGUCGGUGCAAACCGAAACAAAGUCGUCAUUCCGUGAGCAUUAAUCUCACCGGCUUUGUUGACAUGGAUAUGACAUGUUUAGCAAGACCUUUGCCAGAUUU